rnacentral:rRNA from 1 species
GACGAACGCUGGCGGCGUGCUUAACACAUGCAAGUCGAACGGAAAGGCCCUGCUUUUGUGGGGUGCUCGAGUGGCGAACGGGUGAGUAACACGUGAGUAACCUGCCCUUGACUUUGGGAUAACUUCAGGAAACUGGGGCUAAUACCGGAUAGGAGCUCCUGCUGCAUGGUGGGGGUUGGAAAGUUUCGGCGGUUGGGGAUGGACUCGCGGCUUAUCAGCUUGUUGGUGGGGUAGUGGCUUACCAAGGCUUUGACGGGUAGCCGGCCUGAGAGGGUGACCGGCCACAUUGGGACUGAGAUACGGCCCAGACGCCUACGGGAGGCAGCAGUGGGGAAUAUUGCGCAAUGGGCGGAAGCCUGAUGCAGCAACGCCGCGUGCGGGAGGACGGCCUUCGGGUUGUAAACCGCUUUCGCCUGUGACGAAGCGUGAGUGACGGUAAUGGGUAAAGAAGCACCGGCUAACUACGU